GCCCGGCUAGCUCAAUCGGUAGAGCGUGAGACUCUUAAAAAGAGAGGAGUACUCCGAAAUCUCAAGGUUGUGGGUUCGACCCCCACGUCGGGCU
rnacentral:tRNA from 1 species